UACGUAGGGCGCAAGCGUUGUCCGGAAUUAUUGGGCGUAAAGAGCUCGUAGGCGGCUUGUCACGUCGGGUGUGAAAGCCCGGGGCUUAACCCCGGGUCUGCAUUCGAUACGGGCUAGCUAGAGUGUGGUAGGGGAGAUCGGAAUUCCUGGUGUAGCGGUGAAAUGCGCAGAUAUCAGGGGGAACACCGGUGGCGAAGGCGGGUCUCUGGGCAACAACUGACGCUGAGGAGCGAAAGCGUGGGGAGCGAACAGG
rnacentral:rRNA from 1 species